rnacentral:rRNA from 1 species
GUUAGUUGCCAUCAUUCAGUUGGGCACUCUAGCGAAGGAACUGCCGGUAAUAAACCGGAGGAAGGUGGGAUGACGUCAAAUCAUCAUGCCCCUUAUGACCUGGGCUACACACGUGCUACAAUGGUUGGUACAACGAGUUGCGAGUCGGUGACGGCGAGCUAAUCUCUUAAAGCCAAUCUCAGUUCGGAUUGUAGGCUGCAACUCGCCUACAUGAAGUCGGAAUCGCUAGUGAUCGCGGAUCAGCACGCCGCGGUGAAUACGUUCCCGGGCCUU